UACAGAGGGUGCAAGCGUUAAUCGGAAUUACUGGGCGUAAAGCGUGCGCAGACGGUUGCGUAAGUCAGAUGUGAAAGCCCCGGGCUCAACCUGGGAAUUGCAUUUGAGACUGCGUAGCUAGGGUGCGGAAGAGGGAAGCGGAAUUUCCGGUGUAGCGGUGAAAUGCGUAGAUAUCGGAGGGAACACCAGUGGCGAAAGCGGCUUCCUGGUCCAGCACCGACGUUCAGGCACGAAAGCGUGGGGAGCAAACAGG
rnacentral:rRNA from 1 species